UACGGAGGGCGCAAGCGUUGUUCGGACUCACUGGGCGUAAAGCGCGUGUCGGCGGCCGGGCAAGUCGGAUGUGAAAUCCCGAGGCUCAACCUCGGAACUGCAUUCGAAACUGCUUGGCUUGAGUCCCGGAGAGGAUGGCGGAAUUCCCGGUGUAGGGGUGAAAUCCGUAGAUAUCGGGAGGAACACCAGUGGCGAAGGCGGCCAUCUGGACGGUGACUGACGCUGAGACGCGAAAGCGUGGGGAGCAAACAGG
rnacentral:rRNA from 1 species